CAGAGUGUAAAAACUCCCAAACCACUGUGAACGUUACCACCGUUGCUUCGGCGGGCACGCCCCGGGCGCCACCAGCGCGCCCCGGACCAAGGCGCCCGCCGGGGGGGAAACAAACCACUGUAUUUGCUGUGGCAUCAUCUGAGUGAAAAAACAAAUGAAUCA
rnacentral:misc_RNA from 1 species